CCCCCAUCUGAUCAGUUGGUAUGUGGGGGGCAGUGGCUGAAAGGUGCAUAAAUGUGGGCUGGACAGUGGUCAAGGGAGCAACCUGGGAAAAGGAACCUGGGGGAAGAACCUGGGAGGAGCACCUGAGGACUGGAUCAGAAGUGACCGGGCAGGAUGUGAGACAGACCAGAGAGAGGAGGCCAUGGUUACAGAAAAGGAACAAGAAAACCAUGUUCUUGGUUUAUUGUUCAAAAAUCUUACACCGCUGAGCCUGGUCUUGCCACUUUCUGAUUCCGUGUUCCCUGCCUAUGCCCUGCCUGUGCCCUGCCUGGUCCCUGUUUGGUUUCCCUGGUUUGACUUUUGCCUGACUCCUGAUUUGCUUGAACCCUGCCUGAACUGACCUCUGCCUGAUAAACGGAUGUGCUUGAACCCUGCCUGGACUGACCUCUGCCUGAUAAACGGAUGUGCUUGAACUCUGCCUGGACUGACCUCUGCCUGCUUCCUUGGUUAUCAUACUUGGCUGUCUGGCCCUUUAAGGGAGUUCCGGGGGUUAUUUACAUAUAGGCUCCUACCUGCUGGUCUCUCGCCAGAGGCCAGCCCUGACAGUUAUGACUUCCCACAUUUCUUCCUGUUACAGUUAGAACUGCAUUACUUCUGGUCAGGUUGAUCUCUGAGGGUCAAACACACCAUCACAAAAUGAUGGCUCAAGGUAAAAUAUGUAAAAGGACUAUAUUUACUGAUAUAUAUCCCAGUUUGGUAAGAUUCUUUAGUAGGCCACUAAAUAUGAUGUCAAAUCUGUUGGUUAAGUAUUUAUUUUGGGGUAUAGUUUUCCUAGUUGUCAUUUAAGCAUUAGAUUAAAUGACGACCAAACCUUAUUUUCUACGUGAUGAUUUGCGAUAGUCCCUAAGCGCAGCUACACACAGCUGCCACUCCUAACAAAAUCCAAGAUGAUGAGCUCUUGUAAUAACUUUGAAAGCCUGGAUCAUUACUGUUGAUUCUUUAGACUUGUACAUUAAGCUUAGUAUAUAAAAUAUACCAUUUCUAUCAAUAUUCGAUUUUAGGGUUUAGUUCUCUUUUAAAGCUUUAGGAAAUGUCCUUUGAUGGGAACAGUAGGUAAGGGUUAUACCCAGUGAGUGCUGACAUUAAGUUGUCCAGGCAAGAAAAAUGUAUGAUUGAAUGACAAUUCCAUUUUCUAAUGUUCCAUGUGAAUUAAUUUUUUUGAGUAAAUACUUCUGUAAAAAGAUAU